rnacentral:rRNA from 1 species
AUUGAACGCUGGCGGCAGGCCUAACACAUGCAAGUCGAGCGGAUGAAGGGAGCUUGCUCCUGGAUUCAGCGGCGGACGGGUGAGUAAUGCCUAGGAAUCUGCCUGGUAGUGGGGGAUAACGUCCGGAAACGGGCGCUAAUACCGCAUACGUCCGGAGGGAGAAAGGGGGGGAGCUUCGGACCUCACGCUAUCAGAGGAGCCUAGGUCGGAUUAGCUAGUUGGUGGGGUAAAGGCCUACCAAGGCGACGAUCCGUAACUGGUCUGAGAGGAUGAUCAGUCACACUGGAACUGAGACACGGUCCAGACUCCUACGGGAGGCAGCAGUGGGGAAUAUUGGACAUUGGGCGAAAGCCUGAUCCAGCCAUGCCGCGUGUGUGAAGAAGGUCUUCGGAUUGUAAAGCACUUUAAGUUGGGAGGAAGGGCGGUAAGUUAAUACCUUGCUGUUUUGACGUUACCAACAGAAUAAGCACCGGCUAACUUCGUG